UACACAGCUACUGAAUACUGAAUGCUUCAUGUGUGCAGCCACUGUGCUGGACUUUAUGCAUUAUCUCAUUUCAUCCUCCCAGUGAUCAUAUUUAGUAGACAUCCUUAGCUCCAUUUUACAGACAGGAAAACAGAUUUAGUCAUUGACUAACUUGCUCAUGGUUUCUUAACUAAUGACAGAAUUAGGAUUCUGCCGAAUCCAAAACCCUUGCUCUUUCUUGGUUCACUCCUCAGUCUUCGCCCAAGCAACUCUUUUGGAGAGGCAGAUGGUGGAUAUUUAUUGUCUGCUUUGAGCAGCUAGUUGCAUGGUAGAAACUAACACUAUUCAGUCUAGUAGUUUUAAUCAAUCAAGGGAUAGAGCACUGUGCUUAGCAUGCACAAGGUCUUGGGUUUAAUCCCCAAUACCUCCGUUAAAAAAUAAAUAAACCUAAUUACCUUUCCUACACCCCCCCAAAAAUAAAACAAAUAAAAAAAUUUUUUAAAUAAAUUAUCUAGGAGGGUAGGGGUAUGGGUGAAAUAGAUGAAGAGGAUUAAGAGGUACAAACUACCAGUUAUAAAAUAAGUAAGUUGCAGGGAUGUAAUGUACAGCACAGGGAAUGUAGUCAAUAAUAUUGUAAUAGCUUUGUAUGGUGUGUCAUCUGUAAAAAUAUAGAAUCACUGUGUUGUACACUGAAACUAACAAUAUUGUACAAUAAUACUUCAAAAAAGUCAAUUAUUCAUGCAUACUUUUUGAUUUUAACUUGAAACAUAUUAAAUAUGUAUUCAGUUGCCAAUCUUUUGGUGUGGGAUGAAAGCCUUGUCUGCAUUCACUGUUGCAGUAACUUACCUUCUCUGUAUAAAGUACACCCAUAGUGCAUCUUCUGCAUUUUAAAAUUUGCUUCUUUAAAGCAAAGCAAAACUUUAAAAACCUAGCAAAGCAAUUUGAAUGCAGACUUCCACAUUUUUACAAUUUUCCCCAUUCUUUUAUGGUUGCUUACCCACACCUGAUUUGACUGCAGUUUUUAAGCUUUAUCAAGUAUGUCCAAAGUGUUCAACUUUGUUUUCAUAGAUUCAAUAACUUUCUGCAUUAAUUUGAUCGGUUACCGUGACAUUUAUUAUGUAAUUGAAACUGCACCUACAGUGGUCAUAUACAGGUUUGCAAACAAACACAACUGAGGCUUAUUAAGGGUACAUUUCAGCUCAUGGGAGCAGAAAUGCCCAGAUGUGCUGGGAGUUCCACAUAGUAGCCCAUUAGCCACACAUGCUUUGCGUUUCAUAGGCAUCAAGUUAGUAAAUCCUGGAAUUGAGGCAGUCAUUUACUCUAGCCACAUAGUUCAGUGUGGCAUAGUUAAGUGGACAUAGUAGACACAGUUUAGAGAGCACCUACUGUACUGUGAUGUCUACAAUACAGUACAUUAACACUCCAUAGCCGUCAGAGCCAAAAAAGUCUUGGUGAAUGCAGCAUUUGUUUUGGAACCCAGACUGCUAGCUCAGAGGAAAGUAGAAGCAGUCACAUGUUAUGUUUUCCUUAAACUGAGAUGCAUGUGAUAUGGUUCUAGACUGUUCCCACUGGCAACCUUUAGUUAUUCCUCUUUAAAAUGUGAUGUCUGUAACAGUUUACUCUAAUUGGUGCAGCAAAUAAUGAUACUAUCACAGAUUAACUUUUAGGCUAACCAUACCCUACUGUUGGCCCAUCAAAAUUAUUCAAUUUAAACCCAAGUCAGGGCAGAGUAUAGCUCAGUGGUAGAGUGCAUGCCUAGCAUGCAGAAGGUCCUGGGUUCAAUCCCCAGUACCUCCACUAGAAGUAAUAAAUAAAUAGAUAAACAUAAUUACCUCCCACCCCAAAAAUAUUUACAAAUCUUAGUCUUUUUCACAUAUCUUCCCUGAUCCCACAUCAUUCCCAGGUCAGAUGAACCGGUCCCUCAUCUGUUUCCCUGUCAAUUUUGUUCAUUACCAGUAAUGCUAAUCACAUCAUAUUAUAGUUACUCAUCUCUUCCUGUGAUGUGGGUUGAGAUAUACAUACCAGUUGUGUUUUUGCUGGGGCUGCCGUAAUAAAAUAUCUCAGACUGGAACAACAGAAGUUUACUUUUUCACAAUUCCAGAAAUCAAAGAUCAAGUUGUUGACAAUUUGGUUACUUCUGAGGCCUCUCUCAUUGGCUUGUAGAUGUCUGCCUUCUCACUGUGGUUUCACAUGGUCAUCCACCGCCCAUAGUUCUUCAUUUUCUCCUUUUGUAUAUGACAAGCAUGCCAGGUUAUUCUGGUGCUGGGAGCUCAUUUCCUGCACGUUGAAAAAUUCGUCCUGGAGGAGAUCAGCACGGAUGUUGACACAUAUGCCCGAGCAGAUCUUGCACUUGCUGACUGUGCAGUGUGAUCGUCACCUCCUGGCCAAAGGGGAGACCUCUUCACUGCUGCUCUCCCUCCUCCAGGUUGUCAUCCCUCAGAAGAACCAUAGGAAGGUUACCACUGCUCCAGGAAAUAAAGUCGGGGGAAAAAAGCAUCUGGCUCCCAUGUUUGCUGAGAAAUUAAUACCACCACGCAGGGAGGGAGCCACAGGGGCCAAGCUGCCAAGAGAUAGGAGGAGUGCCAAGCUCGAGGGGGGCCAUGAGGAGAGACGUGAGGACUCUGACGAGAAUGAAGAGUCUAUGCAAAAAAACCACCUGAUAAACAGAAGAAGGAAAUGGCCAAAAGAAGGCUUUCCCUGAAGCCAAAAUACAGAAAUUAGAAGCUGAACCACCUGUAACUUUCAGACUAUUUGUUGGAAACCUGAAUUUCAACAAAACCGUUGCUGAACUAAAAACUGAUCUUAGUGAAUUUUUUGCUAAAAAUGAUGUCGCAGUUGACGGUGUCAGAGUCGGCUUGUCCAGAUGGAAAUGCCAGAACGCCUUUGAUCAAGAACAGAGUCACUCAGCAUGAAUUAAUAGAAGUGUUUGAGGAUACUUUUCAAAUCAGACUGGUGAGCAAGGAUGGGAUGAGUGAAAGGAUCGCCUAUAUUGACUUCAAGUCACAGGCCGAUGCAGAGAGAGCCUUACAGAAACAAUGAACUGAGAUCGGUGCCAUAGUUCUGGACCAUGUUGGAAAGAAAAGCCAAAACCAAGAAGAGAGAGAUGGAAAAAACAGCACCUGGAGAAUGGGAAAAUGAAAGUUAGAACAAGAAAGCCAUACAUUUCAAGAAACAUGGGAGAAAACUUAUUUCUUUGUGGAGGUAAAGAAUGUUCCUACAUGUUUAAUAUGCAAACAAAGUCUGUCUGCGUCAAGAGAAUGUAGCCUAAGACAGCAUCAUGAAACCAGCCAUAGUAAGAACCAUGACGGGUUUACGGAAAAGAUGCGGGAUAGAAAACUCAAUGAACUGAAAAAAAGACUGAAAUUUCAACAUGAUUUUCUUUUGAAUGUGAGUAAAAUAAGUGAUGCUGCUAUGAAAUGUAGUUAAGUGUUAAGUGAGAAAAUUGUCCGGGCAUCAAAACCCCCUACAGAUGGCGAGUUUAUAAAGGACUGUCUACUGAGUGCGGCGGAAAUCAUGUGUCCUGAACAGAGACAAGCAUUUGCCAACAUCAGACUCAUUGGUGAUAUUGUUGCGCAGCACGUUGACAACAUGACUGAGGACUUGCAGGACAAGUUGCAAGAAAAAGCCAGAUCAUUUGUGGCUUUCUCCAUUGCAGCUCAGGAAAGCACUGAUGGAAAGGACACCCCCCACAUAGCUGUCUUUAUUCAUGGUGUCAAUGAAACUUUUGAUGUGACCGAAGAACUUUUGGGUGUGGUCCCCAUGACAGGCACAACAUCAGGAAAUGAAUAGUUUCUAUUUGUUGAGAAAAGUCUUAAAAAAUUUAACAUGGACUGGUCAAAAUCAAUAUUAGCACAGAUGGUAAUUCUGCAAUGGUUGGUGUUAAAGAACUAGUUACAGUACUGAAAUUGAAAGUGCCGGGGCUUUGCCAAGACACAGCACCUAAGUCUGUGCGUGGCCUCAUUCUCCAGGAGUCACUUUAGGCUAAAAAAUUUAAAAUGGACCACGUCAUGGACAUAGUAAUUUAUACCAUAACCUGGAUACGUUGCCAUGGCUCGGACCACAGAAAGUUCAGUGCUUUGUUUAAUGAGUCAGAUGCACAAUAUGGAAGCAUGUUCUGCUCCAUGGAACUUAAGUGACUAAAUCAUGGUGAGAUCCUCAGGCACUUUUUUGAACUAUUGGAAGAAAUUGACUUUUUCAUGACUUCUAAAGGAAAAGCUGUGCCUCAGCUUAUGAGCAAAGACUGGGUCAGAGACAGCCUUUUUGGUUGACAUUAUGACGUAUCUAAACACGUUGGAUAUUUCUCUGCAAGGAUGUUCACAAAUGGUGACACAAAUGUAUGAUUCACUUCACUCAUUCCUAGCGAAAUUGUGUCUUUGGGAGACUCAUUUGGCAAGGAACAGUCUGGCCCACUUUUCUACGCUGAAAUUAGUUUCUGAAAAUGAAAAGGAUGGACUGACCUACAUUCCCCAAAUUAAAGAGUUGAAGACUGAAUUCCAGAAAAGGUUCUCUGAUUUCAGACUUUAUGAGAAUGAACUAAUAUUGUUUAGUUCCCCUUCUCCAUUAAUAUUAAUAAUGUGAAUGAAGAGCUACAAAUGGAAGUUACCGAAUUGCAGUGCAACACUAUACUGAAAGUGAAAUAUGAUGAUGUUGGGGUCCCAGGAUUCUACACAUACUUUGGGAAUGGUAACCCUAAGUAUAAAAACCAUUGUGCAAAGAUUUUGUCCAUGUUUGGAAGUACUUUAUGUUUGUGUGCAGCUAUUUUCUGCUAUGAAGCUGAAUAAAACUAAAUACUGCUCCCAGUUAAAGGAUGUUGCAACACAAAAUCCACAACCUUAAGAAAAAAAAAUCUACAACCUGACAUUGAUUGACAUCUUGGGGCAUAAAAAAGGAAUGUCAGAUUUUGAAUUUCAAAUCUGAGGAGUAAUACUUUGAAUAAUUAUUUCUAUUUCCAAAUUAUGUUUUUUCAACAUCAAAGUUAAAGUGCAAUCUCUGGCAUCAUAUGUUUGUGCCUUAUAACAUAUGAAAUAAAGUUUGAUAGUUUCCUGGCAGUUUAUUUUUCCUGUAGUUUACCUUUCUGGCCCUUAGAUUAUUCAAGUCUAUAAACCUCUGUCCUAAAAGCAGCCACAUUUUCCCUAAAGGCACUUGGGAGCCGGGGAUGUGAACCAGGGAGUCAGCUGCGUGAAUGGACUGUUUAGAUGCCUUUUUGCAACCCUAUCCCCAGGGAUGACAGAUGUGCUACAGUGAUUGUGGAGCUUGGGCCAGAGUAGCCCCUUCCUUGGACGGAGCUGGGAUGGCACAGCCAAUAGUGGCCUCUGGGCUUCUUUGUUGGUGCUUCCAUUUUGCAUUUAAACACAUUUCUUUUGAAAUUUCAACAUCGUUGGUCAGCUCACAAUCAGUUGUGGCUGACCCAGGAGCCAUCCUGCCUCUUACAGAUAGAGAUGGGCAUUCCUUUGGCAUUUGGGCCACCUCAAGGGGAUGAAGAACGGGGUGUCAGUGCAUCUAAGAGGUUAUGACCAUUUUCCCGGGGAGAAGGCCCAUAGCUGCCAUCCGAGUCUUAAAGAGGUCUGCGACCCAAAAGGUGUUUUUCCAUCGUGAAAUUGGGACAGGAUUGCUCACUCAUACAGAAGCUAUCAGAAACUUUGUCAAAUUACAGAACUGAUGUAUACUUAUUGUAGAACAUUUGGAAACUAAAGAAAUAAAAGG